UUGAUUUACCCGUUGUUGAUUGGAAGUUGGAAACUGAUAUUCGAAAGAAACGAUUGCUUAAUUACAGUAUUGAUUUUGGAAUCUGUAUAUUUUGUGGUAAUUGCGUUGAGUAUUGUCCAACAAAUUGUUUAUCAAUGACUGAAGAAUAUAUCAAUUUGCAGUAUUUGCAAGCUUGUUCAAGUGUUCCUUGACAGGUAAAAAAAAAUGACUGAAGAAUAUGAACUUUCUAAUUAUGAUCGAUACGAAUUGAAUUAUAAUCAAAUCGCUUUGGGUCGCUUACCAAU
rnacentral:lncRNA from 1 species